rnacentral:rRNA from 1 species
AUGAUACGAACUCUGCCUUGUAACCUCUAUAUAUUGAUCAAUACAAGGCACCACAACGUGUGGUUUUCCCCAAUCUUACAUGGUAUCAGAGCUGAGCAGCCGGUUUCGUCGAUGCCAUUCACCGUGCCAGGCACGGUGACCCCGGAUGCGACUCCACCGUCGCCGCCACGGUCGCCGUCGCCGCCGCCACGGUCCUCUCCCUGGUCGCCGCCACCGACUUCGCCUCGGUCGCCGCCACCGACCUCGCCUCGGUCGCCUGGGUCUCGAGCCACUGCCGAGAGCCCUGCUGGGAGCUCCGAUGGCGACCCUGCCGGGAGUCCUUCUCCUACUACAGUAGCGUCACCACCGGCAACGCCGUCGCCAGCUCCUGUAGCUGUGGAUCCACCCCGGACCCGCCGGACGCGGGCCCCUCCACCGCCUCCAUCUCAUGCCAUGGCCACUCGUGCUAAACAGGGCAUUGUGCAGCCUAAAAAGAUAUUUGAUCUUCAUGUUGAGGGUUUAUCUCCCAUACCGAAGACUUAUUGUGGUGCUCUCAAGGAUCCAAAUUGGCAUUCCGCUAUGGUUGAGGAGUAUGGUGCUCUUCUCUCCAACAACACUUGGGACCUCGUUGAUCCACCUCGCAAUGCUAACAUUGUUACUGGUAAGUGGAUCUACCGUCACAAGAUGAAGUCUGACGGUUCUUUGGAUCGCUACAAGGCUCGUUGGGUGCUUCGUGGAUUCACUCAGCGCGAAGGUAUCGAUUUUGAUGAAACUUUCAGCCCGGUCGUCAAGCCAGCCACUAUUCGUACGGUGCUCUCUCUUGCUCUCUCCAGUGACUGGUCCAUCCACCAACUUGAUGUCAAGAAUGCAUUCCUCAAUGGAACUCUCAUCGAGACUGUUUAUGCUCGUCAGCCUUCUGGGUUCACUGAUCCUCGCUUCCCUGACAAGGUUUGUCGUCUCAACAAAUCACUCUACGGUUUGAAACAGUCGCCUCGUGCAUGGUUUCAGCGGUUUGCUUCGUUCAUUGCAUCGGCUGGUUUCAUUGGCUCCAAGUCCGACAGCUCGCUGUUCGUUUAUCGGCGUGGUGCUGACAUGGCCUAUCUCCUGCUCUAUGUGGAUGACAUUAUCCUAACUGCAUCAUCCUCGACAUUGUUGCAUAGUUUGAUUGCCACUCUUCAUACCGAAUUCAGUAUGACGGAUAUGGGCGAUCUUCAUUAUUUUCUGGGCAUCUCUGUCACACACAGCAAGGACAGUCUGUUCCUCUCACAGGAGAAGUAUGCAUUGGAUCUUCUUGACAGAGCUGGCAUGUUGCAGUGCAAACCCAUCUCUACUCCAGUUGAUACUACCUCCAAACUUUCAGCCAAGUCCAGUGAUCCCGUUGCAGAUCCCACCGAGUAUCGUAGUAUUGCAGGCGGUCUUCAGUACCUCACAUUCACUCGGCCGGACAUCUCUUAUGCAGUGCAGCAGAUUUGUCUUCAUAUGCAUGAUCCUCGGGCUAAUCAUUUGCUACUUGUGAAGCGUGUGCUUCGCUAUAUCCGCGGCACCACCGGCCAUGGCCUCACUUUGUUUCGACGCAGCUCCAACAAAUUGCUGGCCUACUCUGACGCUGAUUGA